UGGCAGCCGCCGCGGUAAUACGGAGGGUGCGAGCGUUAAUCGGAAUUACUGGGCGUAAAGGGCGCGUAGGCGGUCGCGCAAGUCGGGUGUGAAAGCCCCGGGCUCAACCUGGGAAUUGCAUUCGAUACUGCGUAACUAGAGUCUGGUAGAGGGAAGCGGAAUUCCGCAUGUAGCGGUGAAAUGCGUAGAUAUGCGGAGGAACACCAGUGGCGAAGGCGGCUUCCUGGACCAAGACUGACGCUGAGGCGCGAAAGCGUGGGGAGCAAACAGGAUUAGAUACCCUGGUAGUCCACGCCCUAAACGAUGAGGACUAGACGUUGGGGGGGUAAAACCCUUUAGUGUCGCAGCUAACGCGUGAAGUCCUCCGCCUGGGGAGUACGGCCGCAAGGUUGAAACUCAAAUGAAUUGGCGG
rnacentral:rRNA from 1 species